UGGAAACGACUGCUAAUACCGCAUAAGCCCACGGGUCGGCAUCGAUCUGAGGGAAAAGGAGCAAUCCGCUUUGAGAUGGCCUCGCGUCCGAUUAGCUAGUUGGUGAGGUAACGGCCCACCAAGGCGACGAUCGGUAGCCGGACUGAGAGGUUGAACGGCCACAUUGGGACUGAGACACGGCCCAGACUCCUACGGGAGGCAGCAGUGGGGAAUAUUGCACAAUGGGGGAAACCCUGAUGCAGCGACGCCGCGUGGAGGAAGAAGGUCUUCGGAUUGUAAACUCCUGUUGUUGAGGAAGAUAAUGACGGUACUCAACAAGGAAGUGACGGCUAACUACGUGCCAGCAGCCGCGGUAAAACGUAGGUCACAAGCGUUGUCCGGAAUUACUGGGUGUAAAGGGAGCGCA
rnacentral:rRNA from 1 species